rnacentral:rRNA from 1 species
AUUGAACGCUGGCGGCAUGCCUUACACAUGCAAGUCGAACGGCAGCAUAGGAGCUUGCUCCUGAUGGCGAGUGGCGAACGGGUGAGUAAUAUAUCGGAACGUGCCCUAGAGUGGGGGAUAACUAGUCGAAAGAUUAGCUAAUACCGCAUACGAUCUACGGAUGAAAGUGGGGGAUCGCAAGACCUCAUGCUCCUGGAGCGGCCGAUAACUGAUUAGCUAGUUGGUGGGGUAAAAGCCUACCAAGGCGACGAUCAGUAGCUGGUCUGAGAGGACGACCAGCCACACUGGGACUGAGACACGGCCCAGACUCCUACGGGAGGCAGCAGUGGGGAAUUUUGGACAAUGGGGGCGACCCUGAUCCAGCAAUGCCGCGUGAGUGAAGAAGGCCUUCGGGUUGUAAAGCUCUUUUGUCAGGGAAGAAACGGUUUUGGCUAAUAUCCAAGACUAAUGACGGUACCUGAAGAAUAAGCACCGGCUAACUACGUGCCAGCCGCCGCCGUAAUAC